rnacentral:rRNA from 1 species
AACGAACGCUGGCGGCAGGCCUAACACAUGCAAGUCGAGCGGACCCUUCGGGGUUAGCGGCGGACGGGUGAGUAACGCGGGGGAAUAUGCCCUUCUCUACGGAAUAGUCCUGGGAAACUGGGGGUAAUACCGUAUACGCCCUUUGGGGGAAAGAUUUAUCGGGGAAGGAUUAGCCCGCGUUGGAUUAGGUAGUUGGUGGGGUAAUUGCCUACCAAGCCGACGAUCCAUAGCUGGUUUGAGAGGAUGAUCAGCCACACUGGGACUGAGACACGGCCCAGACUCCUACGGGAGGCAGCAGUGGGGAAUCUUAGACAAUGGGGGCAACCCUGAUCUAGCCAUGCCGCGUGAGUGAUGAAGGCCUUAGGGUUGUAAAGCUCUUUCAGCUGGGAAGAUAAUGACGGUACCAGCAGAAGAAGCCCCGGCUAACUCCGUG